AACAUUUUAUUUAAUAUUGUAUGGAGACUGUACAGUUUGCUCGAUGUUUUCAAAAUAACCAGAUGAAUAAGUAAUUACGCACAACACUAACGCAUGCUUGGUUCCAGUCAAUGUUAUCCUUGUAAACGGCUGCAAUGGUUUUAACAAAAACGACACUAAACAUUGUUCUUAAAUAUUUAUAUCGGUAAUGUUUUUUCAUCCUCGUGCUGUCGACAUUUUUUUCCAUGCAUCUUUUCCCCCUUUAUUGUCUUUUGCACCUUCGUUUCCAUGCAAUUCCUCGUACUGAAUGUGUGGCAGAUACGGUGCCAAAUAAACCAAUUUUGAAGUGGUGAAGUUGUCUUACUCUUACCGGCUACAAAACCAUUUCAAAUUAACAAUUUCUUAUAUGUAUCGUCCUCGCGGAUGCACGAGAAGCUUGUCAAUAUUACUUUUACGGUCUAAUCCUUUUUGAGAUAUAGAAACCACUGUUGCUCUUUAAGCUCCUGAUCUAGAUACAUUUUUAAUCAUUCUGAUUCAUCCCCAUCGAUUCUAACGAAGCCAGCAGCAUUUUACUUUAUAUAAAAAGAAAGUACGACUUUAUAAAAUGUAAUGUGAUGCGGUCCGACUGUCCCUGAGCCGCUGCAGUGUAUUAAUAGCUUGUAGUGCAAGCCGCCCUGCCUACAUAUACUCACGCCGGACGACACCGACCACCGUCCCUCCUCCCCCCAACAGCUAUCCUCCUCCACCUCCACCUCCUCCACCACCACGGUCUUUUCCUCUUGCCUUAACUUUGGUUCUGAAGGAACAUUACGUUAUUUUCAGAAACUUCGGGAAGCCACUGUAUUGAAUAUGAAUUGCUGAGUGUGGGAGAUCGCUUUGGUCCUGGAGUGUUUCGCAGCGUCGUUGACUUCGGAUGACAAAUAAGAAACGGCUUAGAGUAUGGUCUCUAAUCGCCUGUACACUACAAGUGGGUUACUAAGUAUGGAGCCAGAACACUGUACGCAGUGCUGCGACCUCCGCCCACGUAACCCAUGUGCAUUGUGGACUUCGAUUAAAUACAUCAGAGGUUUAUGGCUUAGCUGUUAAACAGUGAACCUGGUUCAUCAGGAUGAAUCCUAAAGGAAAGAGCGGCAGUGAUGCAACCAUUUUCACCUGGGAGAGUUUUCCAUUCACGCUGGGACUGGACUAAUUAACCUGUCUGCAUGAUCCCACAGGAGAAAACUGGACCCAUGCUAAGGCUACUCUUCGAAUAAUAUAAAGACACGACCUGCAUUGUGGUCAAAUCAGCGAAUCCUGUCCCGCAUGAGGAAAGGAGAGAGAUGAGUCGUUGAAGUGUUGCUGAGAAACACGGACGAGAUCGACGAUUACACAGUUGGAAAUAUUUUGAUCUGUGGAAGCUGUAUCCUGCCACCGUCUUUAUCUCUUGGCAAAAUACACUGUGCACCAGUCUUUGAAAUAUAUUGGAUGAUUAAGUUAA
rnacentral:lncRNA from 1 species